GCGGAAUUGUGGCGAGAUCUGAGCGGGCCAGCGGGGAGCUUGUCAUGCGUGAGGGCGGCGAGUUAGUCGGGGGAGGGCGAGCUUUGGGAGCGAGGUCAGGGUGCUCGGGAGACGAUGAUGCGUGACGGAGAUGCCUAGGUCGAGUACCUGAGAGACCUUAGCUUCACCGUCGCCGUGCGGGUGGAGAUCUUGGCACCGUUGCUCCAGGACAUUCCCCUUGACACGCACUCGCCGGUGGUUCGGUCCAGCGCGACCCUGCCCCGCAGUCAUCUGGGACAAGCACGAGGAGCUGCCGCUGGUCUGGUUCCCCAGAUGCGCCGCGACCAACUGUUGUUGCUGCUGACCGACCCCUCGCCAUCGUGAGCUGGGUACAUGCUACCCAAGGCCGCGGCGAUGGCAAAGAUGGUCCAGGAGGGCGCCCACUCUGACUGCUUGCUCAACUUGGACGACGACGACCUGCAGGUUUUUCACUCAUAUCUACUUACAAUCGAUAUGGGCUAGUGCAACCUGCAUUUGCGCGCGAAGAA